rnacentral:rRNA from 1 species
UACGGGGGGAGCAAGCGUUGUUCGGAUUUACUGGGCGUAAAGGGCGCGUAGGCGGCCACCGCAAGUCAAUUGUGAAAUCUCCGGGCUUAACUCGGAAAGGUCAACUGAUACUGCGGGGCUAGAGUGCGGAAGGGGCAACUGGAAUUCUCGGUGUAGCGGUGAAAUGCGUAGAUAUCGAGAGGAACACCUGCGGCGAAGGCGGGUUGCUGGGCCGACACUGACGCUGAUGCGCGAAAGCGUGGGGAGCAAACAGG